GUCAUCACAAGAAGGUGAUGAAACAAGGCCAUUACCUGGUUUCCGAAUCCUAUCCCAACACCGAGCAUGAUUCGACCGAAGAGGAGCAUUGCCAGAUUUUGAGCUCCGGCAUUGGUACUUGCCCCAACAAGAAAGCUGAGUCCCCCACA